AGAGGGCGCCGGGGGAGCUGGGAGAAACCCGGCUGAGAGGGCAGCUUGUGCGCUGCCGACCCCCCUCGAACCUGAUCCGGGUAAUGCCGGCGUAGGGAGAGCGCCCUUCUCCUUAU
rnacentral:ncRNA from 2 species